UACAGAGGUCUCGAGCGUUGUUCGGAUUCAUUGGGCGUAAAGGGUGCGUAGGCGGCGCGGUAAGUCGGGUGUGAAAUCUCGGAGCUUAACUCCGAAACUGCAUUCGAUACUGCCGUGCUUGAGGACUGGAGAGGAGACUGGAAUUUACGGUGUAGCGGUGAAAUGCGUAGAUAUCGUAAGGAAGACCAGUGGCGGAAGGCGGGUCUCUGGACAGUUCCUGACGCUGAGGCACGAAGGUCAGGGGAGCAAACGGG
rnacentral:rRNA from 1 species